rnacentral:misc_RNA from 1 species
GCCACCGGCUCCGGCCGGUUGCGCUCGAGCGGAAACGCUUCGCUCUCGUACAGCGUGCGGAUUCCGCUCUGGUCGAAGCGGGCCUCGUCCACCUGGAGGUACGCCCCGUUCAGGCUGUCUGCGGGAAGUUGUUCGAUCGCAAACUGCACGGCCUCGGCUGCGGUCGGGAACCGGCGGUAAGCAAAGCCGGCGCGCUUUUUCUUGCGGAUCGCCGCAGGAAAGAGUUCGGCUUCGGUGUUGUAAUUGAACGCAGCCAUGGUCUCGGCCUUCUCGAUUGGGAUUCGAUGAAAAC